ACAGGAUUGGGUAACAUUAUUCGCCUAUAUAAGCUCUCUCCAAAUAUGCUUGGAUAAGGAACAUUCUUAAAUAUAAAGCGAUAUCUAUCCAGAUAGGACCGGAAACAGGAAUUCGGAGAAUGGAUGAUGACAGAAAGGAUUGUUUUAGAAACCAAGCUCCAUUGAUAGCUACAGAGAGCGUUGUCAGCGUCGAAAGAAUGAGUGAAUCGCCAAACAGCACAUGGGAACAUGAAGACCAGACAAGACCAGAUCAUCCGGGUCCUUUGUAUGGAGGAAUGUUGAGAAAAGUCUAAGAUGUCAAAUAUGUAAUCUAGGAUCGUAUAAUUGUUUUGUAUAAGCACGCGUAUUUAGAUCGUCGGCUUUUGGAUAUAAGACGUUAGGAAAGUGUAAUAUUGUGUACAUUACUACAUUGAUAAAUGAUACAUGUUGUACAUUACUACAUUGAUAAAUGUAAUAUUGUGUACAUUACUACAUUGAUAAAUGUAAUAUGGUGUACAUAACUACAUUGAUAAAUGUAAUAUGGUGUACAUUACUUCAUUGAUAAAUGAAAUAUUGUGUACAUUACUACAUUGAUAAAUGUAAUAUGGUGUAAAUUACUACAUUGAUAAAUGAAAUAUUGUGUACAUUACUACAUUGAUAAAUGAUACAUGGUGUACAUUACUACAUUGAUAAAUGAUACAUGGUGUACAUUACUACAUUGAUAAAUGUAAUAUUGUGUACAUGACUACAUUGAUAAAUGUAAUAUGGUGUACAUUACUUCAUUGAUAAAUGUUAUAUGGUGUACAUUACUACAUUGAUAAAUGUAAUAGGUGUACAUGAAUACAUUGAUAAAUGUUAUAUGGUGUACAUGAAUACAUUGAUAAAUGAUACAUGGUGUACAUUACUACAUUGAUAAAUGUAAUAUGGUCUACAUUACUUCAUUGAUAAAUGACGGGUGGCGCCUGGCCUCCUUUAAUGCCAUUAUGGUUUUUGCUAAAAAAAAAAAUACGUUUUAAUUCUAAAAUAUAUUAUAUAAAUGUUAAAAGUUUCUGUUUAUAAUAAACGGCUGCCCCCUUUUAUC